ensembl:lncRNA
GCGAAAUAGCAGCUCCAAUAGCUCCAGUGCAGGAAGCAGCUAAUUUCAUGGCUAUUACUAAAGGCUGCUGUAGAGACUCAGUUACUCUCUUUGAACUGGGAUUAGUAACGAGGAAGAACAAAACAGUGCUCUUAUCUGGUCCUGAUAUUUAUUUGGCGCUGCAGGGUUGACUGGAAGAGAGCUCAGCUGUUUUACUCUAAUGUGAAUUUUAAAAGUCACUUCCCUUCAGCUUUUUCCUGACAGACAAAUGUAAAAGUGAGAACAAAUCAGGAACACAUGCUUGACAGAGACAAACAUCUGGAGCUGCUGCUGGCAACAAUAAGACUUCUGGAGGACAAGGUUUGUUUGCAACUUUGAUGUCCUGAUUCAGCUGGAAAAAAACACCUCAAAAACCAGGAGACAAAAGUGAGAUGACCAUCAGCGUCUGUAAACGCACUUCUCUGAUGAUUGCCUCCCUGAGCAGAGACAGACGGCCUGUAUGAGUUCAGUCCUGGGGGAAAUAAAGUACAGCUCUGUGCACCGAGUGCGUUACAAAUCAUGUUUAUUGUUGAGCUUUCUGUCAUUAAACC